UACUGGGGGAGCAAGCGUUGUUCGGAUUUACUGGGCGUAAAGGGCGCGUAGGCGGUCAGCACAAGUCAGUUGUGAAAUCUCCGGGCUUAACUCGGAAAGGUCAACUGAUACUGUGCGACUAGAGUGCAGAAGGGGCAACUGGAAUUCUCGGUGUAGCGGUGAAAUGCGUAGAUAUCGAGAGGAACACCUGCGGCGAAGGCGGGUCUCUGGACAGUUCCUGACACUGAGACACGAAGGCCAGGGGAGCAAACGGG
rnacentral:rRNA from 1 species